GUGCCAGCCGCCGCGGUAAUACAGAGGUCCCAAGCGUUGUUCGGAUUCACUGGGCGUAAAGGGUGCGUAGGUGGUAAGGCAAGUUUGAUGUGAAAUCUUCGAGCUCAACUCGAAAAUGGCAUUAAAUACUGCUUUGCUUGAGGGUCGGAAGGGAGACUGGAAUUCUCGGUGUAGCGGUGAAAUGCGUAGAUAUCGAGAGGAACACCAGUGGCGAAAGCGAGUCUCUGGACGACCCCUGACGCUGAGGCACGAAAGCUAGGGGAGCAAACAGGAUCAGAUACCCUGGUAGUCCUAGCUGUAAACGGUGCACAUUUGCCGUGAGAGGAAUCGACCCCUUUCGUGGCGGAGCUAACGCGUUAAAUGUGCCGCCUGGGAAGUACGGCCGCAAGGUUAAAACUCAAAGAAAUUGACGGGGGCCUGCACAAGCGGUGGAGUAUGUGGCUUAAUUCGAUGCAACGCGAAGAACCUUACCUGGCCUUGACAUGCAAGUAGUAGAAGGAUGAAAGUCUAACGACCCCGCAAGGGGAGCUUGCACAGGUGCUGCAUGGCUGUCGUCAGCUCGUGUCGUGAGAUGUUGGGUUAAGUCCCGCAACGAGCGCAACCCCUGUGUCCUGUUGCCACUCCCGCGAGAGCGGGAAGCACUCUGGACAGACUGCCUCGCUUCAACGAGGAGGAAGGUGGGGGAUGACGUCAAGUCAGGAUGGCCCUUACGGCCAGGGCUGCACACGUACUACAAUGCCCGGCACAGAGGGAGGCAAUACCGCAAGGUGGAGCAAAUCCCAAAAAACCGGGCUCAGUUCAGAUUGUCGGCUGCAAUUCGCCGACAUGAAGCUGGAAUCGCUAGUAAUGGCGCAUCAGCUACGGCGCCGUGAAUACGUUCCCAGGCCUUGUACACACCGCCCGUCACAUCAUGAAAGCCGUCUGUACCCGAAGUCAGCGGGCCAACCGCAAGGGGGCAACUGCCGAAGGUAUGAACGGUGAUUGGGAUGAAGUCGUAACAAGGUAACC
rnacentral:rRNA from 1 species